rnacentral:tRNA from 1 species
GCCUUGAAUAUGUUUGACCAGGCCAGAAGCCUGCUCAUGUCUGGCCUCCGGAGCCGGGUGCGCAGGUUCGAAUCCUGCAGGGGGCA